GCCUGGGUGGCUCAGUGGGUUGAGCAUCUGACUUCGGCUCGGGUCAUGAUCUCACAGUUCAUGGGUUCGAGCCCCGUGUCAGGCU
rnacentral:tRNA from 1 species